GUGACUCGGUGCAGGGAAGAUGGUAGAGGUGACUCUGUGCAGGGAUGAUGGUAGAGGUGACUCGGUGCAGGGAUGAUGGUAGAGAUGACUUAGUGCAGGGAUGAUGGUAGAGGUGACUCGGUGCAGGGAUGAUGGUAGAGGUGACUCGGCGCAGGGAUGAUGGUGGAGGUGACUCGGUGCAGGGAUGAUGGUAGAGGUGACUCUGUGCAGGGACGUUGGUAGAGGUGACUCGGUGCAGGGAUGAUGGUAGAGGUGAAUCAGUGCAGGGAUGAUGGUAGAGGAGACUCUGUGCAGGGACGUUGGUAGAGAUGAAUCGGUGCAGGGAUGACUGUAGAGGUGACUCGGUGCAGGGAUGAUGGUAGAGAUGAAUCGUUGCAGGGAUGAUGGUAGAGAUGAAUCAGUGCAGGGAUGAUGGUAGAGGUAUGAUGGUAGAGGUGACUCGGUGCAGGGAUGAUGGUAGAGGUGACUUGGUGCAGGGAUGAUGGUAGAGAUGAAUCGGUGCAGGGAUGAUGGUAGAGAUGAAUCGGUGCAGGGAUAAUUGUAGAGGUGACUCGGUGCAGGGAUGAUGGUAGAGAUGAAUCAGUGCAGGGAUGAUGGUAGAGAUGAAUCAGUGCAGGGAUGAUGGUAGAGGUAUGAUGGUAGAGGUGACUCAGUGCAGGGAUAUUGGUAGAGGUGACUCGGUGCAGGGAUGAUGGUAGAGGAGACUCUGUGCAGGGACGUUGGUAGAGAUGAAUCGGUGCAGGGAUGAUGGUAGAGGUGACUCGGUGCAGGGAUGAUGGUAGAGAUGAAUCGUUGCAGGGAUGAUGGUAGAGAUGAAUCAGUGCAGGGAUGAUGGUAGAGGUAUGAUGGUAGAGGUGACUCGGUGCAGGGAUGAUGGUAGAGAUGAUUCGGUGCAGGGAUGAUUGAAGAGGUGACUUGGUGCAGGGACGUUGGUAGAGAUGAAUCGGUGCAGGGAUGAUUGUAGAGGUGACUCGGUGCAGGGAUGAUGGUAGAGGUGACUCUGUGCAGGGAUGAUGGUAGAGGUGAAUAUGUGCAGGGAUGAUGGUAAAGGUAUGAUGGUAGAGGUGACUCGGUG
ensembl:lncRNA